CAUCCGCUGUGCUGGCCACGCUUUCAACCGAGGGUUGGCGAUCCGGAGCAGGACGAUCGAAACCUAUAGAUGAAUAGUUUCGAUUUGUUGGGGAAUGCAAUUCUUUUGAUCCGUCUUUCCUAAGUUAAAGCGUUUAGGUCAGGCCCGGGCGGUGAACAGGGGAUCCUGCUCCGCCUCGACGGCACCUCUACAUUGAAGCGGACGCCACCAACCGACGAACACGAUCUCGAAGGUAGACUACCGCCCCCGCCGCCGGCCUUCGUCCUUCCAUCACCCACUCCUGUGUCCCUCGCGAGCUUGGAUCGCUCCCGCUCCCGCUCCCGCUCCGACGGCCUCCUUACUCGGCUUUUGGCAUCUCCUUGUCGCUUGAUGUUCCCUCUGUCUCCUACGACAGGUGAUGUGAAGAGAUAUAUGCGAAGGAGAAGACAGAGUUGAUCCAUGUCUUGGUAAAUGGUAGCAGACUAUGAGACCUUUCAAAGAUGUAUCAUCAAAGCUCUCCCUCCAUGACAGAUUCCACAAGCACAUUGCUAACGAGAAUUAUAACUUAUCUAAGCACAUUGCUAUCUCA